rnacentral:rRNA from 1 species
UACGUAGGGCGCAAGCGUUGUCCGGAAUUACUGGGCGUAAAGGGUGCGUAGGCGGUUGUUUAAGUCUGUCGUGAAAUCCCCGGGCUCAACCUGGGAAUGGCGAUGGAUACUGGGCAGCUAGAGUGUGUCAGAGGAUGGUGGAAUUCCCGGUGUAGCGGUGAAAUGCGUAGAGAUCGGGAGGAACACCGAUGGCGAAGGCAGCCCCCUGGGCCGAUACUGACGCUCAGGCACGAAAGCGUGGGGAGCAAGCAGG